rnacentral:rRNA from 1 species
UACGUAGGGUGCGAGCGUUGUCCGGAAUUAUUGGGCGUAAAGAGCUCGUAGGCGGUCUGUCGCGUCGGUCGUGAAAACUUGGGGCUUAACCCUGAGCUUGCGGUCGAUACGGGCAUGACUGGAGUUCGGUAGGGGAGACUGGAAUUCCUGGUGUAGCGGUGGAAUGCGUAGAGAUCUCCAAGAACACCAGUUGCGAAGGCGGCUGACUGGACACAUAUUGACGCUGAGGCUCGAAAGCAUGGGGAGCAAACAGG